rnacentral:lncRNA from 1 species
CUCCUUUCUUCUUCUCAUCAUCCUCUGCUUGAACACUCUGAUCACCAAUCCCCCCCCUGCUCAUUCUCCACGUUCUUAGGGUCCCUCGUAUCCACUUGGACCGUUUCCACCUCCCCAUAUGUGAGUGCCUGAAAUUCAUCCUCAUCAGCCUUAGCCUCUUCCUUACCCUCCACAUCUGUCUCAGUUCCAUUAAACUCCAUAGUUUCUGUGACAGCAUCGCCAACUCCAUGACCCAUCACUUCCUCAGUCUUG